AACAGGUGCACGUACAAGAGAAGGCAAAUCUGGAGGCGCGGAACCCCUGGGCUGGCAGCUCCCACUUGCCCUGCUGAAGCCAGACUGGAAGCUGCAGAUGAGGUACCGGGCCCACGUGCAUGCUGGGGAAGGCCCAACACAAAGCAGCAGCAGCAAGCAAGGAGCAGAGUCUUGCAGUGGGAGAGAAGGAAGCAGGACACCUGGGUGCUAAGCCCAGCUCUGCAACCCCAAGAACUCACAGCCCCACGUGCAAGUGGAUGGACUGAAGCAGGGCAGUGGGGCCAGUGGCUGAUCAUUAGAAUCCCCUCGUAGAAUAGCAACAACAAAAAGGUUCCUGGGCUAUCUGUCCACCUCAGACCUACUGAGUCAGAAUCUCCAAGGCUGGCGCCCAGGGAAUCUGUAUAUUUCAAAGCUUUCCAGAAGAUUCUUGAGGUCUGUCGGGACCAAGAAUCACUGGACACCAUAGAUAAAACCCAGGCCCCUUAAGCUUCAAUAAUCACCCUCUACUGCUUGUACACUUUAGUUAUUGCCAUUGGUAUAAGAGUCCGAAUGCCCCAUCAUAAGGAAAGAGCUCACGCCCCCUUAAAGCUGCGCUGAGAGGCUUCUCAGACACUUGGGGACUUCUUUAGAGCUCACAUGGUCUCUAGAGCUAUUCUGUCAGCAUUCUGAGCUGGCCAACUUCAAGAAAUCGCCCCACGCAUUGUAAGAUACGUAGCACACCUGGCUUUUAUUUGCUAAAUGCAGGAAAAUCUUGAUUUGCGAGCAUAAUUCAUCCCAGAAACAUGUUUGUCAUCCAAAGCACUCGUGUAUCAAAGAGAAUUUCAAGAAC